rnacentral:tRNA from 1 species
GCCGUGGUGGCGGAAUUGGUAGACGCACAGGACUUAAAAUCCUGCGGUGGUGACACCGUACCGGUUCGACUCCGGUCCUCGGCACCA